rnacentral:rRNA from 1 species
GAUGAACGCUGGCGGCGUGCCUAAUACAUGCAAGUCGAGCGAACAGACGAGGAGCUUGCUCCUCUGACGUUAGCGGCGGACGGGUGAGUAACACGUGGAUAACCUACCUAUAAGACUGGGAUAACUUCGGGAAACCGGAGCUAAUACCGGAUAAUAUAUUGAACCGCAUGGUUCAAUAGUGAAAGGCGGUUUUGCUGUCACUUAUAGAUGGAUCCGCGCCGCAUUAGCUAGUUGGUAAGGUAACGGCUUACCAAGGCAACGAUGCGUAGCCGACCUGAGAGGGUGAUCGGCCACACUGGAACUGAGACACGGUCCAGACUCCUACGGGAGGCAGCAGUAGGGAAUCUUCCGCAAUGGGCGAAAGCCUGACGGAGCAACGCCGCGUGAGUGAUGAAGGUCUUCGGAUCGUAAAACUCUGUUAUUAGGGAAGAACAAAUGUGUAAGUAACUAUGCACGUCUUGACGGUACCUAAUCAGAAAGCCACGGCUAGCUACGUG